CCAACACUAUCCUAGACUUGUUGAGCAUGGAAAGUUACCAUGGUUACAUGGUUACAUUGUCCCUGUUGCCUAGUGACAGUGUUGGAAGUGUUGCUAGCAGCACUCCGGCCUCUGGUCAUGCUGGAAAGGAAGUUAGGUACUGUGUGAUGUGUGAUGAAUGUCGCGACGUCGAGGAAACGAUGUACCUGCUUUCACAAGGAAAUGAGUUCUUUGUGAUGAAUGGCAUGCAUGCUAGUUUUUGUUUUCACAGGCGCUACUAUCGCAGGAUCGGAACUACUUCGCGAGGCAGAAGACAAACACUAACAAGUAAACAGUUGUUUUUCUUACAACACUGGUCCUGUUUGACUGCGCUGGCUGUAUACAUGUACUAGUACUUGUAGUCAGGGAGUCGUAAAAUAGAAUAGUAUUUUACGACACCCUGCUUGUAGUGCUAUCAUGAAGUGUUGAUGAUGUCACUCCUUUGGCUUUAGCUUUGCUGGAUAAACUUGAUGGAUCCCUCCUUUUCUGGCUAGCAAUGAUCAUGAAUCAUGAUGAUCCAGUGAGUCACCGUAUUUCCACAACAUGAUAGUAGGCCGGUCUACUAUUUGUGGAAACCUCGUCCUAACCCGGGCUUAUAAUCGAGGACGGUCUUUUAUUCUUUCAACCCAGUUUGACCCCGGUCUUCUAUUUCUCGCCACACAGUUUUACCCCCGUUCUUCCAUUUUCUUCUACACAGUUUGAGCACGGUCUUCUAUUUUUAACACAAGAACAAAGACUCAUUUAGUAGGCCCGGUCUUCUAAUCGGAGACGGUCUUUUAUUUUUUCAAUCGCCCCUGCCCCGGCCUUGUAUACGAGGAAGGCGUUGUAUACGAGGACGGCCUUUUAUUUGCGGAAAUACGGUACAUGAACUGACUGUGCCUGUGGCCUAGCGCCUGGCAAUGACUAUAUACCCGGUAUGUAACUGUCACACUUAAUUUAUCUGCUAGCCAACACUUCUGAGUGCGCUUUCUGAGUACUGUAGUAACCAGGGUAACACCACUCCCUUCCUUCCUUGUGAAGUGUGAAGGUUUUGCACUUUCAGCUGCUAGGUACUAGGUGCACAUGGUGUGGGCACAUAAUAUUUUUAAAAUUAUUAUUAUGGUUUGGGUUGCUUUGUUGUCACAGUCUCAGCCAGCAGUCGUUUGUUUUUGUCUUACUCUUAGCUCUAGUAAGAGUUCCUGUUGAAAUUACCAGUAGUAGCAGUUACCGUAGUUGGCUUAUUGGGUAGUCGUUUCUGGUGUGGUUUUGAUUGCCGCCGCCAUCUGGUGUUGGUGCGGCUUCGUGAACUACUGGUAAUUAGCGUGCACAUGUGGCCGUUGAACGUUCUUUCUGCCACCAUACUAGCGGUCUCUCCCCGCAGCCCCGGGUAUGUUUGGUACUUCAGUUUUGUCGUCCGAGUUCUGAUACCUGUAUUACUGACAUUCCAGAGCCCAAGCCAAGGUGUUUGCCCAGACCAGAGAGACUCUGAGAACCAAACCGGGACGCGACGGUCGACUACAGUCUCUGUACAAUUGUACUAGUGCAGUAAGAGCAGUUGUUACUGCGUAGCACUCACGCGGCGGCCCCGGAACUUCUUGCUGUUACUUGCAUGUGUGUAUCUGUUUGUGUACUCGCCGAGUUCUGGCGUUGAAGACUAGCUUGGCAAACAGCGCACCGCCUUUCUCAACACUGGUGUAUUUUCCUUGUUGAACUAACUUAUCGGUACUUGUACUCCCGACGUGCCAAAUGCCUUCGAUGAGUCAACCCUGGUCACAAGGACGAGGUCUUCGCACUGCAGUGCUGGUGCGGGAUUUCCAGAGCCGCGAGUGAGUGAGCAAUGAGGAUAAGAUAGCCCGUCCGUGACCUGACCUGGAAGCGAUGGAAACUGGCGACAUGAUCGGCUUCUGUUCCCGUGGUGACCUGUCGCACCCCCUCAUCACUUGUCAACAAUGAAAAUAGAGGUAACCAUAAACCAGCUUUUCCGGAGGAAUUAGGACUGAAAGUUCUGAAAGUUUCGACUCAUGAUGUCCAUACCAGGAAUGAUUCCUUUCUGGUCAAGACUGCUUCUUGACAGUUGGUAGUCAAUGUACAUAUGUGCAUGUGUUUAAUGCUGAGUGACUCUGAUUGGUUGAGAAUGAGCCACCAAUCACGGACAGUGUGAAGGAUGAGCUGUAUCAGCUAUAAAAGUAAUCAUUCCUGUAAUGAUUCCUUUCUGGUCAAGACUGCUUCUUGACAGUUGGUAGUCAAUGUACAUGUGUUUAAUGCUGAGUGACUCUGAUUGGUUGAGAAUGAGCGACCAAUCACGGACAGCGUGAAGAAUGAGCUGUAUCAGCUAUAAAAGUAAUCAUUCCUGUAGGGGUGGUGGUCGGGGUUUGGGAUGGCCGAUUUUUGACUUUUUAAUUUGUUUCUGCUUGCUUUGUUGGAGCCUACAAGAAUGAUGAUUUGCUGUUUGACGUGCUUUCUUCCUUCCUUCGUUUCUUCCCUCUGCACACAACAAAGAAGACAUUAGUAAUUCAUUAUGCAUUCCACCAUUGUUAGAUUUGCUGUUUGACGUGCUUUCUUCCUUCGUUUCUUGCCUCUGCACACAACAAAGAAGACAUUAUGCUUUCUCUUGAGGUGAUGGUGGAUAACAUAACACAAGUUGACCCUCAGGCUUUUUCUUCUUGACUUUUUUUGACUUUUUAAUUUGUUUCUGCUUGCUUUGUUGGAGCCUACAAGAAUGAUGAUUUGCUGUUUGACGUGCUUUCUUCCUUCCUUCGUUUCUUCCCUCUGCACACAACAAAGAAGACAUUAGUAAUUCAUUAUGCAUUCCACCAUUGUUAGAUUUGCUGUUUGACGUGCUUUCUUCCUUCGUUUCUUGCCUCUGCACACAACAAAGAAGACAUUAUGCUUUCUCUUGAGGUGAUGGUGGAUAACAUAACACAAGUUGACCCUCAGGCUUUUUCUUCUUCCUUCGUUUCUUCCACCUGCACACAAACAAGGCACGCACAUCUUCUUCCUUUCCUUCUUGAGCUUCCUUCAACUUGAUUUUCCCUGCAUGCUUGCUGACACACAGACACACACAGAUACACACAUGCCCACACAGACACAACACACACAGACACACACAUGCACACACAGACACAACACACACGGGUUGACAUACUGAAAAAUUGACACUGAUAAAAGCCAACAUAUUUCGACUGCCUGCUAGAA